CUGAACCAGCCAAGUAGCGUGAAGGAUGACUGCCCUAUGGGUUGUAAACUUCUUUUAUAAAGGAAUAAAGUCGGGUAUGCAUACCCGUUUGCAUGUACUUUAUGAAUAAGGAUCGGCUAACUCCGUGCCAGCAGCCGCGGUAAUACGGAGGAUCCGAGCGUUAUCCGGAUUUAUUGGGUUUAAAGGGAGCGCAGACGGGAGAUUAAGUCAGUUGUGAAAGUUUGCGG
rnacentral:rRNA from 1 species